rnacentral:rRNA from 1 species
AUACGAGGGGAGCUAGCGUUGUUCGGAAUUACUGGGCGUAAAGCGCGCGUAGGCGGUUUUUUAAGUCAGAGGUGAAAGCCCGGGGCUCAACCCCGGAAUAGCCUUUGAAACUGGAAAACUGGAAUCUUGGAGAGGUCAGUGGAAUUCCGAGUGUAGAGGUGAAAUUCGUAGAUAUUCGGAAGAACACCAGUGGCGAAGGCGACUGACUGGACAAGUAUUGACGCUGAGGUGCGAAAGCGUGGGGAGC